rnacentral:lncRNA from 1 species
CACAGGUGGCAGCGGGGGCGCGGGCGGGGGGUGUAGGCGGCGUCGGCGGCGCCCGGGGCCUGAGGAGGCGUCGUCGCCUCGGGCUUCGCCGGGGGAGUGCCUCGGGGCCGGUGCGCCGCCGGCCGCUCCCUCACCGCUGCUGACGGGAACCGGUGGGACCUGCUGCCUGGAAAGUGUAAGGUGCUCAGAAGUUCUCCAGCGCGCGCCUGAGGUAAGACGAGAGCCGUCUUUAUAAUAAGGACCAACGUUGUGUCUUUUGUCCCUUCAGUUUUUCUCUUGUGCUCUCCUGGGCCAAGACCUGGCUGUUAAGACAGUGUUCUCCCGAGUGGGUAUGAUGAAUUCAGGCCAGCCAUGGAUUUAUAAUUCUGGAGCCUUCUAAACUGCGUCCUUAAAAAGGG